rnacentral:rRNA from 1 species
UAGGGAAUAUUAGAAAUGGACGAAAGUCUGAUCUAGCAACACCGCGUGUGCGGAGAAGGCCUUCGGGUUGUAAAGCACUUUUUGUAAGGAAUAGGAAGGAAGGUACUUCCAGAAUAAGUCUCGGCUAACUACGUGCCAGCAGCCGCGGUAACACGUAGGAGGCAAACGUUAUCCGGAUUUACUGGGCGUAAAGCGCGUGUAGGUGGUUCUGUAAGUAGGGCGUGAAAGCUCCUGGCUCAACUGGGAGAGGCCGUUCUAAACUGCAGAGCUAGAGGAUGGUAGAGGGAGGUGGAAUUCCGGGUGUAGCGGUGGAAUGCGCAGAUAUCCGGAGGAACACCAGUGGCGAAAGCGGCCUCCUGGACCACUCCUGACACUCAGACGCGAAAGCUAGGGUAGCAAACG